rnacentral:tRNA from 1 species
GGGGCUGGAUGAGAGACUGGUGUUCUCCACGGUCUUCAAAACCGCUUGAGACCACCGUGUGUGGUCUGGUGGGUUCGAUUCCCACACAGUCCCGCCA